UACGGAGGGUGCAAGCGUUACCCGGAUUUACUGGGUUUAAAGGGUGUGUAGGCGGGCUUUUAAGUCAGUGGUGAAAUCUCCGGGCUCAACCUGGAAACUGCCAUUGAUACUAUUAGUCUUGAAUAUUGUUGAGGUAGGCGGAAUAAGUCAUGUAGCGGUGAAAUGCAUAGAUAUGACUUAGAACACCGAUUGCGAAGGCAGCUUACUAAGCAAUGAUUGACGCUGAGGCACGAAAGCGUGGGGAUCAAACAGG
rnacentral:rRNA from 1 species